UGGCUCAGUCGGUGGAACAUGAGACUCUUGAUCUCAGGGUUGUGAGUUCGAACCUCAC
rnacentral:tRNA from 1 species